UAUAUGAGAGUAAACUACAGCUGACCCUUGACCAACAUGGGUUUGAACGGUGAGGGUCCACUUAUACGCAAGCUUUUCCCGAUAAAUGGGGUAUAGUACUGUAAAUGCAUUUUCUCUUCCUUAGGAUCUUAAUAACAUUCUGUUUUCUCUAUAAAACAUAUGACCUAGAAAAUACGUGCCCAAUUUUGUGUUACCAGUCAGGCUUCUGGUCCAUAGGAGGCUGUUAGCAGUUAAGGGGGGGAUCAGUCGAUUAAGCGCCUGACUCUCGAUGGCAGCUCAGGUCGCGAUCUCAUGGUUGAAGAGAUCGGGCCCCACGCACUACUUGGCUUCUGUGCUGACAGAGCAGAGCGUGCUUGGGAUUCUCUCUCUCCCU